GCUGAUUGCCUGCAACUAUAUUUUCCUUCUCUCCCAAUGACCAGAUCAUCCGGAGCUCCUGCAUUUAUUUUCUCAUGCCCUAAUUACGUCAACCAUUCAAUCUCAUUUUGAGCUGCAAUGCACUUUCUUCCUUUCCUUCAAUUACCAUUGCUUAAAUUAUCUGUUCAUACAUUUAAAUUGAAGGCUUUUCUUUUCCAUAUGACGAGAUAACACCCAGUAUUGUGCACCCCACUACGGUUCUUGUGAACACUGCUGUCUAAUUAAAUUGGAGUUAAGCUAUCAUGCUCCCCCAGCUAUUUUAAGCAACAGUUCUUGAUGCCUGACCCAGAUUCAGGGCAUUAAUCUUGCUUUUCAGAUGACUGUAAAACUGUAUUCUUCAUCAAUUAUAUUAAGUAGUAUUAAUGUUAAGUACUUAUACCAACUAUUUAUUCAAGCAUGGCUUCUUGAUAAUUCAAUUUAGAUUGACCUCUAGCAAACUUAAAAAAAAAAAAUCCAUCUCUAUUACAUGAGUGCCCUUUAUUUCACCCUGCCCAAGAAUGUGUGGGUCCUUUACCAGGCCUAUUGCUAUAGGUCAGUGUUUUGCUAAUAUUUUCAAUACAUGAUAAAUUCAGGAUAAAAUUCCUUUCCACCACUAUUGUCCAAUCUCUUAUUACACAUUACAACUUCCUGUAUACAAUUUGGAAGUACCUAUGUAUAUGGUGACUAAAUUUAUCGUAUUUUUCAUGUAGUUUUGCCUUGUUUCUACCUCGAUUCCUCUUAACUUUAUGGACUGUCGAACUUCAUGGAAAAAUUCAAUGAAAGGUCACAAUCAACAUUCAUUGCUGUCGGUGGGUUGAAUUAAGAAAACAAGCUCGCUGAACGAUGAAUGCAACUGUGUCCCCACUAAAUACCAGAUUCAAGCGACAUCUUACUUUACAUGGAAUUCAUAAAUGAAUAUACAUCUGUCUACAAAUAGAGCCAUUUUGACCAAUGUAACUCCACAUAGAGAUACAAUACUGAAGAUUAGUUAUGGUCAAACCUACCAAUAGCGCUCCUUCAACCAUAACUUUGGAGUUGAUGCAAAGAUGAAUGUGCAGGUAGAAAUUCACUCAUGAAUUAAAUGUUAGUCUAUAUAAAAGAGAGAGCCUGUUAAGUAUUUCAUGUGUUGCUACAGGUAACCUAAAUUCUUUAUUAUUUCCAUAACACUAUCCAAAAGGUUUUUAAAUGUUUUGGUGUAAAAGUUAUCAGCGUCUGAACUGCUGGUAAAAUAUACGGUCUGCCAUUCUGUUACUGUGAUGGUGUACAAGAAAAAUAAACAAUACAUCAACUGCAAGUGUCAACUUAAAUUUGUUACUUGACCACCGUGAAUGAAUUUGGUUUGUUAUGCAAGUUAUGUAACUUUCUGUUAAAGUAUCAUGAGGGAACUUGCUCAAUAAAGAAUCACUCAAACUUUGAGUUGUCCUAUAUUUCUUAGACCAUUCAAAAUGAAUGGCUGAUGAGUGGAUAGUUCACAAAGGA